rnacentral:rRNA from 1 species
UACAGAGGGGGCAAGCGUUGUUCGGAAUUACUGGGCGUAAAGGGCGCGUAGGCGGCCUUCUAAGUCGAACGUGAAAUCCCUGGGCUCAACCCAGGAACUGCGUCCGAUACUGGGAGGCUUGAAUCCGGGAGAGGGAUGUGGAAUUCCAGGUGUAGCGGUGAAAUGCGUAGAUAUCUGGAGGAACACCGGUGGCGAAGGCGGCAUCCUGGACCGGUAUUGACGCUGAGGCGCGAAAGCUAGGGGAGCAAACGGG